rnacentral:rRNA from 1 species
AUGGCGACAAUGCGGCCUCAAACAAUCCUACUACCGCCGCGCAUCGACCCCAUCUUCAUCAUCGACGGCAAUGGAGGUUCACUAGUCAACGGCAACGACAUUGGUGAUGGUAAACACUUCUAUUGUGCCAAGUGCAUGUCUGUCGUGGCAUGUGCAUGUAUUCGGCCCGGCUUCAGCAUGUGCGACCAUGAAUUCUGCUCGAGCUGUGUUGCCAUGAAGCUACCCCAGAACGUCGCCCGCGUCAAAUGCACUGGGGAGAGCUCGACGGGGUCGGAGAAAUAUCACGGCCUGACGAUCUUGCGGCCUGAAACAGUCCAGUUACCGUCGCGCAUCGACCCCAUGUUCAUCACCGAGGGCAAUGAAGGUUCACUCAGUGAGGGCAAAGAAGGUUCACUCAGUGACAGUAAGCGCUUCUACUGUGCCAAGUGCAUGCAUGUGGUGCCAUGUGCAUGUAUGAGGUACAACUUCACCAUGUGCGACCACGACUUCUGCUCAAGGUGUGUCGCCAUGAAGCUGCACCAGAACGUCGCCCGCGUCAAAUGCACUGGAGAGAGCUCGACAGCGUCGGAGGAAUAUCGCGGCGUGACAAUGUUGCGACCUGAAACGGUCCAAGUACCGUCACGCAUCGACCGCAUGUUCAUCACCGAUGGCAAUGAAGGUUCACCGGUGGACGACAUCACCAAUGGCAAGCGCUUCUUUUGUGCCAAGUGCAUGCAUGUCGUGCCAUGUGCAUGUAUAAGGUCCAACUUCACCAUGUGCGACCACGACUUCUGCUCGAGGUGUGUCACCAUGAAGCUGCGCCAGAACAUCGACUGCGUGAAAUGUACUGGAGAGAGCUCGACUGCGUCGGAAGAAUAUCGUGGCGUGACAAUGUUGCGACCUGAAACGGUCCAAGUACCGUCACGCAUCGACCCCAUGUUCAUCACCGAUGGCAAUGAAGGUUCACCGAUGGACGACAUCACCGAUGGCAAGCGCUUCUUUUGUGCCAAGUGCAUGCAUGUCGUGCCAUGUGCAUGUAUAAGGUCCAACUUCACCACUUGCGACCAUGACUUCUGCUCGAGGUGUGUUGGCUUGAAGCUGUGCCAGAACGUUCCUCGUGUCAAAUGUACCGUGGACAACUCAACAGCGGCGGAGAGAUACCACAGCAUGGCGAUGGUGAGGCCUGAAACUGUAUCAUCGCGCAUUGGCCCUAAGUUCGUUACCGGUGGCAAUGAAGAUUCACCGCUGGUGGACAGCAAGGACAUCGGCGAUGGUAAGCACUUCUACUGUGCUGAGUGCAUGCAUGUGGUGCCAUGUGCAUGUAUACGGUCCAACUUCAGGAUGUGCGACCACGAGUUCUGCUCAAGGUGUGUCGCCGUGAAGCUAGGCAAGAACAUCGCUCACGUCGGAUAUUCUGAAGGUGGGGAUGGUGAUGAUGAUCUGUUCUAUUGCAACAUCUGCAUGGAGAUGGUGGCAAGGACCCUCAAGUUCAGCAUCAACUCGUGUGACCACGUCUUCUGCUCAAGCUGUAUCACCCAGUACGUCGCCGCGAAGCUGGACAACAAUGUAGCUCGCGUCGAAUGCCCCGACCCAGGCUGCAAGGGCGGUGUCAUUGAGCUGGAGAGGUGCCAUGACAUCAUUUCCCCGGACGUCCUCGACAAAUGGGGUUUCCUGCUGUGUGAAUCUGCGCUUGGCACCAAGAGGAUAUACUGCCCAUACAGAGAAUGCUCGGCGCCUCUGCUUGCUGACAGCGAGGCCGGGGCGGCUGCGGUCACGGAGGCGGAGUGCCCGCACUGCCACCGGCUUUUCUGCGUGCAGUGCGCUGUGCCAUGGCAUGGCGGCAUCAGUUGCAAUGAGUUCCAGAAGCUCGGACUGGACGAGCGCGGCCCGGAGGACAUCUUGCUCAGGCAUCUGGUCGGCAGGGAGGGGUGGCAGCGGUGCCCCAAGUGCCAGAUGUACGUGGAGAAAUCGGAAGGGUGCAAUUACAUCAAAUGCAGGUGUGGAUACAGCUUCUGCUACCGAUGCGCGUCCAAGUUGUCCGCGCUAAACCAUUUCUGCAGCAAGUGCAAGCGCUGA